rnacentral:rRNA from 1 species
GCUUACCAUGCAGUCGAACGGGGUCCUUCGGGACUUAGUGGCGGACGGGUGAGUAACGCGUGAGGAUCUGGCUUCAGGACGGGGAUAACAUUGGGAAACUGAUGCUAAUACCCGAUAUGGCGAGAGCUGAAAGAUUAAUUGCCUGAAGAUGAACUCGCGUCCGAUUAGCUAGUUGGAGUGGUAAAGGCACCCCAAGGCGAUGAUCGGUAGCUGGUCUGAGAGGAUGAUCAGCCACACUGGGACUGAGACACGGCCCAGACUCCUACGGGAGGCAGCAGUGGGGAAUUUUCCGCAAUGGGCGAAAGCCUGACGGAGCAAUACCGCGUGCGGGAGGACGGCCUUUGGGUUGUAAACCGCUUUUCUCAGGGAAGAAGAUCUGACGGUACCUGAGGAAUCAGCAUCGGCUAACUCCGUGCCAGCAGCCGCGGUAAUACGGAGGAUGCAAGCGUUAUCCGGAAUUAUUGGGCGUAAAGCGUCCGCAGGUGGUUGGUCAAGUCUGCUGUCAAAGCGUGGAGCUUAACUCCAUAAGGGCGGUGGAAACUGAUUAACUAGAGGAUGGUAGGGGUCACGGGAAUUCCCAGUGUAGCGGUGAAAUGCGUAGAUAUUGGGAAGAACACCAGCGGCGAAAGCGCGUGACUGGGCCAUUACUGACACUCAUGGACGAAAGCUAGGGGAGCGAAAGGGAUUAGAUACCCCUGUAGUCCUAGCUGUAAACGAUGGACACUAGGUGUUGCCCGUAUCGACCCGGGCAGUGCCGUAGCCAACGCGUUAAGUGUCCCGCCUGGGGAGUACGCACGCAAGUGUGAAACUCAAAGGAAUUGACGGGGGCCCGCACAAGCGGUGGAGUAUGUGGUUUAAUUCGAUGCAACGCGAAGAACCUUACCAGGGUUUGACAUCCUUCGAAUCCUUGGGAAACCGAGGAGUGCCUUCGGGAGCGAAGAGACAGGUGGUGCAUGGCUGUCGUCAGCUCGUGUCGUGAGAUGUUGGGUUAAGUCCCGCAACGAGCGCAACCCACGUUUUUAGUUGCCAGCAUUCAGUUGGGCACUCUAGAGAGACUGCCGGUGACAAACCGGAGGAAGGUGUGGAUGACGUCAAGUCAGCAUGCCCCUUACAUCCUGGGCUACACACGUACUACAAUGCUUCGGACAGAGGGUUGCGAGCGCGCGAGUGCAAGCUAAUCCCGGAAACCGAGGCACAGUUCAGAUUGCAGGCUGCAACUCGCCUGCAUGAAGGCGGAAUCGCUAGUAAUCGCCGGUCAGCAUACGGCGGUGAAUACGUUCCCGGGCCUUGUACACACCGCCCGUCACACCAUGGGAGUUGGCCACGCCCGAAGUUGUUACCCUAACCAUUCGUGGAGGGGGGCACCUAAGGCAGGGCUGAUGACUGGGGUGAAGUCGUAACAAGGUAGCCGACCG